ACUUGAAUAGCUUAUUUAGAGCGCGACACUGAAGAUGUCGAUGAGGUGUAUACACCUUUGAGUA
rnacentral:tRNA from 1 species